UUCACCCCACAACCAAUCCCCAAGUCAACAAUUCUCCCAUAACAACCCAACACCACCUUCAUCGACACAUGCAUCCCCAACGACUUACUCCCAACUCAAGAAUCACACCUCCCACUCUUCACAUAUACCCAAAUUCGAAAUAAAGGGCUUGUGGCUUUCAAUCACCAUCUCAUAAGCCCCAACAAAAAAUCAUACUCAUAGAUUCAUUAUAGAACAUUGCAUGUGAGCUAAGG
rnacentral:lncRNA from 1 species